AGAAGUCUGCUUGUGUGAGGAGGAGGUUUUCUCAGCUUCUUCUGACGAGAGGGAAAGAUAGUUUAAGGCAAGUAAACUUUAUAAUUUCAUGUUAUCAGUUGUUGUUUUUUUUUUUUUUUUACUAAGAGUAAAAUAAUGUUUGUUUUUUGUUUUUGUAGAUGUUAAAAGCCAGAGACAUGGGAGAGCACCAUUCUUUUGAGAUUUUAUGUAAGUUAUUUUUAGAAAAUAAAUGUUUCUGUUGUCUCCUGUCGGUUUACUUCACAUUUUGAUGCAACAACAGUGUGAUUACUGGCUCAUUUCACUAAAACCAUUGAUGUCUGUGUUUUUCAUUGCGGAACUCAAACCAACUUUGGAGUUGUCUGAUUUGGGGAGUCAUCACUCUUGGUCUUCCCUCUUAAAGGCGGUGACUGGGAUGAAUACUGGUCAGAGAAGAUAUUGUCCUUUCCUCUAAACUGAUGCAGCAGUGGUUUUAAAGGAGGACGCUGCCCUGGAUGAUGUAGAUGUCACAUGCUGUGCUGAUGGAGCUUCUUCAUGACUACAUCAAUUAUGCUAAAGAGAUCAUGAAAGUUGACAGUGAUGCAUGAUCUGUAUUCAUGGACUAUGAAACAAACUGUAAGUGUAUAAUUUGUAAAAACAA